UCCGAGCGGCUGUGCUGCUGGUAAGUUUUCCCCACCUGUCACUUCAAUGGCGGCAGGGAAGCUUGAGGCAAGUGUCGUGGAUGAAAACUUUUGGUAAAUUCGCUAAGGUUGCUGACUAUUUUCCUUAUACUGAUAAAUUUAUUAACUCGGUAAAGAUUUUACAAAAACUAGUUGGCUUUGAUUUGCUGAAUAAGUGAAAACGUUUUAAGUUGAGAAAAUUUGUUACUGGCCUGAGGAUGGAAGCUGUGUCAAAGAGGGGGGAAAUGGCAAAACGCUUAAGGACACUUAAAUAAGUAUGCUUGUGUGUGAGAGGCUGUUUUUCCUCCAUUGUUUGUUAGAUACAAAAGGGCUUUGGUUGAAAUGAUGCUGGGUUUUUUUAGGAUCACAGGCGUUUCAGAGGAAAAACUGUAAGGGUGUUGGGGAGACAGUGUGUGCUAGACUGUUCAAAUGGAAAUGGUUGCUGCCUCAGCUGUCUUACAGGGGGAGGGUUCUGAGGGAGGGAGAUAGCCAGGCUAUCUGUUCUCCAACCCCCACCAGGCCUACUAAAGCGGGUGCAAUGGAUCCUUGUGGAUUUUUUUUGGUCGGGGGGAACGUUGGACUAAAGCCCCUGUUUUGUUUUUCUCUGCCAGAAGAAGACGGGGGAUAGGGCCUUAUUGACAUUCCUGCCAGGGUACAGACUUUCUGUGUGCAGGCUGCUCAACGCUUGUUAUAUACCCGUGUACUCAGCUGGACGGUAACAGCUUGGGUUAUUACAUAACCCAUAACAUACAGUAAAACCUUGCUGAAUACUAACCUUCUGUCUUCUACGAGUGUCCGAUCCCGCUUGAGGGCUACUGGCUGCUUCAAGCUGGGCCAUUUAAAGAAAACAUUGAAAGAGAGAUUUCGGGAGUUGACUGGGUUUCAAUCGAUGAGGUUGCUGCACAGGCCAGUUAAAGGAGGUGAGCAGUACAUUACCAAUUCCAUACAGGGAGUUUGUGGAGGAUCCUACUCUGGCCGAGCAGUGGGAUGAUGACUGUGUAUACACCUUUCCACCAGUUGAUGUUUUUCCAGUGUUUGGGGAGUGGCAAGAAGACCCGAGCAGUCUUUUGACCCUUGGUGCCUCUUCCUUGGGACGUUUUGAAGAUUAUGUUAUGUUAUGUAGAGGUGUUACACCAGGGCUCAUUGAUGGGCUGUAAAAUAUCAAGAUGGACUUCUUGCUUUGGCCCAGAAUACUCUCCCAAAGGCUGCUGGCGCUGUAUAAACCCCCUGUGGAUAAGUGCACAGGGGACCUCCAGUGGAGGGUUGUGCAUGGAAUUAUAGCUACAAACAGGUAUCUGGCACACAUGUUUGGAGGUAGAUUAGUUGUUUUCUAAAUAAAAGUUUUUUCAAAUUCAAAUUCUCUCUCUCUCUCUCUCUCUUUCUCGUGUUACGUCUCCUUCCCCUCUGCAUCCAUGUUAGACUGGCCAUUUACAGUGUAGAUACCACAGUGGUAGGUGGUUGAUAUCCCUCCACGAGAGAGAGAGAACAAAACACAGAGGUCCACAGACAGAACAGAACACCAAAAAAACAGUGCUACCAGUUGGCAUGUAACACACUGGUAUGACUUUUCACAUUGUUCUCGAAUUGAGUCUAUCUCACAUGUUCUCCACAGAGAAACAAUGUUUUCUAGAGUUUUCAAAGUGUGGUUCAGAGCCCUGUGUGUCUGUCUACAGGUAAGGGAUAAUUUAUUGAAGACAACUAUAAUCAAGUGACUGUUUCAGAUGUGAAACAUAUACAGUACACUGUAUUUAACGUGUCAUAUAAUGAUAUAGAUUUACAAACUAAAUAACAAAAUAAAUAAUAUGAGAGAAUGACUAAUCAUGUUUUGUUCUCUCUGCAAUUGCAGAUCUUUGCAGUAGGUGAGUCUCUUAGUUGCACAUACUUCAAACUUAAGGCUUGGGAAGAAAAAGUAUGUAAUGUAUUAUGGAAGUUGAUAAAAGGUGGUGAGUAACAAAAUGUUACUAUUACCUCAACAGCUGCAAACAACACCAUGGACGGUAAGGUUGUAACACACAUGCAGUUAACGCCUUACCCCAAUCAAACUUCACUAAAACUUAGAUUGAGUCAGGUGUCAGGUUGGAAAAAUUGUUUUUUCUGGACCCUUCCCCAGUCUGAACAAAGGAUGACAAGUUAACUAUAGCUGCAUGUCAAAGGAUAACUGCUGGCUGUAUGAGGGUGUGGGAAUUAUAGUUUAGAGGAAAAGCAACUAUCAACUAUUAUACCCACAGGUUUAGGGUCAAUCUUGAUUGAGUUUGCCAACUCAAUCAAGCAAAUAAUUCACUGUUCCCAGCGUUCUUUGGAUGGUAUCCCUAUCUCCCACGGUGGAUUGCUUGUUAAUGUCUUUGUCUUUUUCUCGGCCCACUAUUUCCUCAAUGACUUCCUCUUCACUUAUAUUUCUUUUGCAAUCACUCAGUUCAAAUCAGUGGAAGCGGUGUACUGGAUUCAGGCACCUGGAAUUUAACAAAAACUAUCCAGCUUGAAGAUGCCUUCCAAACACUAAAUGGUGUUCAGUGCCUGAAAAUAACCUAUAGGUAAAUUUUUCUUUUUGUUUACAAUGACCAAUUUAUGAUUCAUAAAUUGUCAGUCAACUCAAAUCAGCAAUAAUAAUUCUCAUUGUAAGGAGAUAAAUUUGUGUUUUUAUAAAACAGGGACGCUUAUAGUAUAUAUACAGUAAAUACUUUUAAUGAUGUUGUUAAAAUGGGUACAUUAUUUGGACCUAACCAUUUACUGUUAAAUAAUCUUUAAACUUCAAAGACAAAACAACAGCAUUGUUGACUUUGAGGGAAAUGUCAGCGUCAUGUUUAACACUUCUGAGCUUCAACACAUAGUGAACGGACUGAAAACCAAACUCCAUGCUGUAAUUCAGGUCAACAUUUCAGGUUGGACUGGUCACCAUACUCUCCCCAAACACUACAGUGCACUACAAGUCCAGCCCUUCACUGAAAUGCACUUUUGGAGAGACUACUGACAGUGCUGGGUGGAACCUGAUCCAGAAAAAUCUGAGCUUUAAUCUAAUUUCUGGCAGUGUGGUCGAACUGAACCCCAGCUGUGCCACAUCAAAAUCUAGCUCUUGUACUGAAAUUACACUCCAGGAGGUGACGGGGGACUGGGUAGGCAAGUACCGUAUUUGUUUUUUUUUUUUGCUUUAGUGUAAAAAGAAAGAGUCUAUUCAAUCUUGAAUGCAAGUCUUUGGAACACAUUUUUUCUUUUGUAAAAGUUGGUUUACACCAGCAUGUGCUUCUUGUGCAAAACUGGUCAAGUCAUAGAUACAUCAUAAAUCCAAAGAUGAGUUAAAAGGGCCCUGUUAACUACAUCUCCACCCAACACAUGCUGCCUGUAUUCAGGUUGUCAGCCCCUUGUCUUGUAAGGCAGUACUGUAUCACAUAAAACCCGGAGUAUUGACCUAAUGGAAAAUUCUUUAGAUUUGGCACAAAUACCCAGGUUGAUUUAUUCCAAUUCCAAUUUUAGCACCUCAAA